ACACAUUUUGGGUCCAUGCGUUUCUCUAAUCUAGCUAUAACACUCGCUGCUGUGGUCCGCAGCUGCUUUCCUUGAAGCCCAUGAGACCAGGAACCCUUGGAUUGAGAAAAAAACCUUCCAUUGGGAGGAGACUUCUUGUCUCAUUUCUGGGGGCCCAUCUGGGAUUUCUCCACAGCAGAUCUGUGGCUCUUCACUAAGAUAAAUAUUUAUCACCAAUGUAAACUUCACACAUGAC
rnacentral:lncRNA from 1 species